rnacentral:lncRNA from 1 species
ACAGAACGUUUCCCAGUGUUAGUCUGAGUUUAUGAGAUGGUACCAAGCCUGUGUAUGAGGCACUGAGGUGCCCAUCAGUAGGCAUGUACCUGCAGGGUGUCUUCAGGCUAUAGGAUGCUGGGAGAAGGGUUUAGUCUCUUGCUCCUGUACCUUUUCCUCUUGGGAGGAGCUGUGGGCUCGUGCUGAGAGAUCACAGGCCUGGCUGAUGACCUGCCUUGCAUGCUAGGUGCCUGCAGGCCCUGCAGUGAUGCCGAGCUCCUCCUGGCUGCAUGCACCAGUGAUUUUGGUGCUGGCGGCCCACCAAUGUGGUCUCCGUCCAGCUAUGGGAUAUGAGCUGAACCCGUGGCUUGUGGGACUUGCACGGCUGCAUGCCUGGAGAGCCGGUUGUUCUGCGAGUGUCUGCUACCAUCGAAAAGAUCUCUGGAAGGUGAGCCUCAGGGACUGUCACAACGUGUCUGUGUUCCUGGCUCCCAGUGUGCUCCAACUGCUGGAGGACAAACUGCAAGCAGAGCUCCCUGUGGGGGCCCGUGUGGUAUCUGGACGAUUCCCCCUUCCCACCUGGCAGCCUGUAGCUGUGGUGGGCGAGGGCACUGACAGAGUUUGGGCCUAUGAUGUCCAUGGUUCUGGGCCAACUGUGUCUUCUUGUGGGGUGCCCAUCAAGGCCAUCCCAGAGUCCAGUUCUACCUUAGUCCCUAGAGCCCCUGUUUGACAAACUGGCUGACUGGAUAAAAUAAAGACUCUGUGGGUUCAAUCCUGA